UCAAGACUUCGAGUUUAAAUACGACCAUCGAUGUUGUGAAUGCCCUCAUUUUAAAAAAAAAAAAUUAGAAAAUUUUAUAUUUGUUUGUCAAGAUCACUGAGCUUGAAUCCUCCUCUGGAGAAGGAGAAGAAUUCCAAGAUGGACACAACAUGCUACAACGAAGAUAAAGUCUCAUGUCGAUGAGGCUUUGAAAGAGUUACAACAGGAGAAGGAAUCUCGAGCUAAGGACCGCGAGGCCCACAAUGAUCGGGUGGGUGGAUUGGGUAAGAAGGUCGAUGAAUCCCUUUAGAAAACUCUUAAUAAUGUGUAUGAUGCCUUAGACUAGGUCAAACCCUUCAUUAGGAUAUAUUUGUUCCUCACUCGCAAAUUGACCCGUUCAAGGUCAUUCUGGUCGGGUCUUGAUGGAGGACCUAAGUAUAGCGUAUCAGGUGGAGAUGCUUAACUUUUAUUUUUAUUGUAAUGUUAACAAGGUAUUGUACCCUUAUGUUUCCUUUCUAUCUGCACAAAUAAUGCUAUUUAUGUAUUUAGCUUUUCAUUUAA